CCUCUCUGCAGUAUUCCACUUGGUUUGGUCUUACUUGAGUCAACCGGGCCAGAUUGUCAGAGGAACUCCCGGACCCCUGAAUGGUGAUUUGGAAAAAAGUAGCCGCCCCCUGCCCCCGAACCUGAAUAUCCCGCGGAUCCAAGGGGUGCAUAGAACAGAGACGAGACACAGCUACUCCGAUAUCAUCCAGUCUUUCUCCACCAGCAAGGGUUGGUUUAUUCAUUUACCUGGGUACAGGAUAAAAAUUGGCUGACACUCUGGAGUCCCUGAGAGAGUGACCAGGACAACCUGUAUGUGCCACUCCUGAGGGUCUACAGAGUAAGGAUGGACUGGUAAAACUAGACCAGGGACUCAUAGCACUGUUACCCCUUUCAUCCGCAGACUGGGAGGAAGUGAUAGACGUGAUAGAUGGAGAGACUGGAACAGACAGGUUGCCACGCUCCUUGACCUUCACCACCAAUGCCACGGAUUGCACUCUUCAAUUUCUGCCGGAGGAGAUUUCCGGCCAAUCAUAACAGGGUGGGAGACGACAGUUUUCGAGACGGGAAGAGGGGAGAAGCCAAGCUGUGACAAAAUAAGUACAUCUGUAAUUUACGGUAAUUUAGCAGAAGUUCUUAUCCAGAGCGAUGUACAGUAGUGAGUGCAAACAGUGAAUUCAGAAAGUUUUCAGCCACUUGACUUUUUCCACACUUUGUUACAUUACAGCCUUAUUUUAAAAUGGAUUAAAUACAAAAAAAUCCUCAGCAAUCUACACACAAUAACCCAUCAUGACAAUGUGAAAACAGGUUUUUAGACAUUUUUGCAAAUUUAUAAAAAGUGUAAAACAGAAAUACCUAAUUUACAUAAGCAUUCUGACCAUUUUCUAUGAGACUCGAAAUUGAGCUCAGAUGCAUCCUGUUUCCAUGGAUCAUCCUUGAGAUGUUUCUAAAACUUGAUUGGAGUCCUCCUGUGGACAUGAUCUGGAAAGGCACAUAAGUAUCAUAACAAAAAAAGUCUGAAAUCACAAAUGCUCAUAUUCCUGCCCUCUUUCUGAGCGAUACAAAGUUAAUCUGUACAGGCGCAGUAUGGUUGAAAGGCCCUGUGUGUGUGUCUAUAUAAAGGUCCCACAGUUGACAGAGCAUGUCAAAGCAAAAACCAAGCCAUGAGGCCAAACGAAUUGUCCGUAGAGCGCCGAGACAGGAUUGUGUCGAGGCACAGAUCUGGGGAAGGGUACCAAAACAUUUCUUCAGCAUUGAAGGUCCCCAAGAACACAGUGUCCUCUGUCAUUCUUAGAUAGAAAAAGUUUGGAACCACCAAGACUCUUUCUAGAGCUGGCCGCCUGGCCAAACUGAGCAAUUGGGGGAGAAGGGCCUUGGCCAGGGAGGUGACCAAGAAUCUGAUGGUCACUCUGACAGAGCUCUAGAGUUCCUCUGUGGAGAUUGGAGAACCUUCCAGAAGGACAACCAUCUCUGCAGCACUCCACCAAUCAGGCCAUUAUGGUAGAGUGGCCAGACGGAAGCCAAUCCUCAGUAAAAGGCACAUGAUAGCCCGCUUGGAGUUUGCCAAAAGGCAUCUAAAGACUCUAAGACCAUGGGAAACAAGACUCUCUGGUCUGAUGAAACCAAGAUUGAACUAUUUGGGCUGAAUGCCAAGCGUCACAUCUGGAGGAAACCUGGCACCAUCCCUACGGUGAAGCAUGGUGGUGGCAGCAUCAUGCUGUGGGGAUGUUUUCAGCGUCAGGGACUGGGAGACUAGUCAGGAUCAAGGCAAAGAUGAAUGGAGCAAAGUACACAGAGAUCCUUGAUGAAAACCUGCUCCCGAGCUCUCAGGACCUCAGACUGGGGUGAAGGUUCACCUUACAACAGGACAAUGACCCUAAGUACACAGCCAAGACAACACAGGAGUGGCUUCGGGACAAGUCUCUGAAUAUGUUUGAGUGGCCCAGCCACAGUCCGGGCUUAAACCUGAUCGAACAUCUCUGGAGAGUCCUGAAAAUAGCUGUGCAGCGACUCUCCCCAUCCAACCUGACAGAGCUUGAGAGGCUCUGCAGAGAAGAACAGGAGAAACUCCCCAAAUAGAGGUGUGCCAAAUUUCUAGCUGUCAUGCCCUGACCUUAGAGAGCCUUUUUAUUUCUCUAUUUGGUUAGGUCAGGGUGUGAUUAGGGCUUGCAUUCUAGUUUUUCGUUUUCUAUGCUGGCUUGGUAUGGUUCCCAAUCAGAGGCAGCUGUCUAUCGUUGUCUCUGAUUGGGGAUCAUAUUUAGGCAGCCUUUUCCCAUCUGUUGUUUGUGGGAUCUUGUUUUUGUGUAGUGCCUGUUUACACUACAAUUUGUAAUUGGCUGGCAGGCUGUAAUCGCUGCCAAAGGUGGUCUACCAACUGAGCCACACAGGACCAUAAGUACUAUUUAGCUUUUUUAGAAGCAUCAUCAAAUCACUUCUUAAAAUCAACACUAUCGUGUUGAAAUAGCUGUUUAUAUGAAGAACGAGCAAAACACCUCCACCAGAGAUUACAAUUUGUGUAAAGUUACAGAACUGUUACAUUGGUCUUCUAACACACCAAAGAGCUCAAGCAGGUCAACAUCUGAGGCCAUUGUUUUCCAUGGUCAUUGUUUGACUCCAGUAGAGUUUAUGGUUUUACUCCAGUAGAGGUUAUGGUUUUACUCCAGUAGAGGUUAUAGUUUUACUCCAGUAGAGGUUAUGGUUUUACUCCAGUAGAGGUUAUGGUUUUACUCCAGUAGAGUUUAUAGUGUGACUCCAGUAGAGGUCAGAGUGUGACUCCAGUAGAGGUCAGAGUGUGACUCAAGUAGAGGUUAUGGUUUGACUCCAGUAGAGGUCAUAGUGUGACUCCAGUAGAGGUCAGAGUGUGACUCCAGUAGAGGUCAGAGUGUGACUCAAGUAGAGGUUAUGGUUUGACUCCAGUAGAGGUCAUAGUGUGACUCCAGUAGAGAUCAUAGUGUGACUCCAGUAGAGGUCAUUGUGUGACUCCAGUAGAGGUCAGAGUGUGACUCAAGUAGAGGUCAGAGUGUGACUCAAGUAGAGGUUAUGGUUUGACUCCAGUAGAGGUCAGAGUGUGACUCCAGUAGUGGUCAUAGUGUGACUCCAGUAGAGGUCAUUGUGUGACUCCAGUAGAGGUCAUUGUGUUACUCCAGUAGAGAUCAUAGUGUGACUCCAGCAGAGGUCAGAGUGUGACUCAAGUAGAGGUUAUGGUUUGACUCCAGUAGAGGUCAGAGUGUGACUCCAGUAGAGGUCAUAGUAUGACUCCAGUAGAGGUCAUAGUAUGACUCAAGUAGAGGUCAGAGUGUUACUCCAGUAGAGGUCAGAGUGUGACUCAAGUAGAGGUUAUGGUUUGACUCCAGUAGAGGUCAGAGUGUGACUCCAGUAGUGGUCAUAGUGUGACUCCAGUAGAGGUCAUUGUGUGACUCCAGUAGAGGUCAUUGUGUUACUCCAGUAGAGGUCAUUGUGUUACUCCAGUAGAGGUCAUUGUGUGACUCCAGUAGAGGUCAUUGUGUGACUCCAGUAGAGGUCAUUGUGUUACUCCAGUAGAGGUCAUUGUGUUACUCCAGUAGAGGUCAUAGUGUGACUCCAGUAGAUGUUAUGGUUUUACUCCAGUAGAGGUCAGAGUGUGACUCAAGUAGAGGUUAUGGUUUGACUCAAGUAGAGGUUAUGGUUUGACUCCAGUAGGGGUCAUCGUGUGACUCCAGUAGAGGUCAGAGUGUGACUCCAGUAGAGGUCAGAGUGUGACUCAAGUAGAGGUUAUGGUUUGACUCCAGUAGAGGUCAUAGUGUGACUCCAGUAGAGGUCAGAGUGUGACUCCAGUAGAGGUCAGAGUGUGACUCAAGUAGAGGUUAUGGUUUGACUCCAGUAGGGGUCAUCGUGUGACUCCAGUAGAGGUCAUCGUGUGACUCCAGUAGAGGUCAUCGUGUGACUCCAGUAGAGGUCAUAGUGUGACUCCAGUAGAGGUCAUUGUGUUACUCCAGUAGAGGUCAUAGUGUGACUCCAGUAGGGGUCAUUGUGUUACUCCAGUAGAGGUCAUAGUGUUACUCCAGUAGAGAUCAUUGUGUGACUCCAGUAGAGGUCAUUGUGUUACUCCAGCAGAGGUCAUAGUGUGACUCCAGUAGAGG